rnacentral:lncRNA from 1 species
GAGCACCAGAGGAAGUCGUCGCCGCACCUGGCAGCCUUUCCAUCCUGGGGAAGAAGGGCCACGUCCCGGGCCAUGUCAGGCAGGAGGCCCACAGGAGCCAGCCCUUGCGUGGACCACUGGAUGGAGCCACCACCACAGAAGGGAGAUCUCGUUAUACCAUUCAUUGUCAGAUCAUCUCCCAGGAGCCUCAUUCCUGGGCCCGGGAGGCAGCAUGCUGGUCCAGAUGGGCAAAGCCAGCUGGUCCGCCCUAUCCAAGCCUGUGGCUUCCCUAAGUAGCUGCUACCACCUGCCUGGACUCCUGCUGACAAGACACCAGCCACAGUGCAGACAGGACAGCUCACACCUGGAGCAUCGCAC